rnacentral:lncRNA from 1 species
AUAACUCAAAAAGCGGCCCUUUGAGGGCACGAUACGUCAUCCAUAAAGGCCAGAGGGUGUACCAUACCUGUAGACCCUGACAAAAGAUAUAAAUAAAAAGUCAUAAAAGUACCCAUUAUCCGAUUUCACACGAGACAAAGAGGAGAUUUGAUCAGAUGAGGAGUCCGAACACUAUCCAAAGGCUUAACGCGCUGGUAAGAUAGCUGUCCCUGAAAACAGAGGACCUGCGGCGUUAUUGCAGGAAGCAUUCGCGGGCCUCGUCGCACACUGGAACGUGCUAGUACAAGAGGUCGCACAUGCAAUUUUUGGCUAAAAUUUCAAAUUUUGAUGUUAAUUUCGUCACAAAUUCAAUUUCAAGGGAUGUUUCUGUAAGAAAAUUUCACGAAAAAACCGAUCAAGUCACACUUACUAUCGUCUUUUUUUCGUUUUUCCAAAAAUAUAAGCUUUCAAAGUUUUCAGAUUUGGUUCGACUUUUCCUAUAAUGACUUGUUCCAGUGUGCGUCGGUCGUCGCUCCAGGCGGGUCCUGCGGGAAGUAGCAACGGCGGAUGCUCCCGGUCGCUUGGCAACGCGAUAUCGAUCUUAGGCGACGCUGCCAAAUUGUGCGCCUUUUACGCUGCCUCCCAUGCAAAACUACCGGCUGAAGGCCUGCGCCUGUUUAUGGGCAUUGGAGGAUAGGUAUAUACAGUUGCAAAUCAGGAUAGGUGUUUUUAUAAGCUCAAGAAAAAAAGUUGCUCGCUUUCCAAAAUUGCUCGCUUUUUUCCGAUCAAAACGACAAAAUUCCCUGACUGUCUGGAUGGUUCUCUUCGCGGGAAGGCCCUUCAUAAAAUACGCGACACUAAGAGGAGAGGGUGAGGGGGGAUUCUGUGCUUACGCCACGGGGGCGUUAGCAGUACGAAAAGAGGGUAUUACGGGCCACGUAAGUAACACUUAAUGCUGUACUUUUAUUUACUCGCUUUUCUUUAAAAGCAGAGUUCUUUUCAUAUUUUGCUUUUCCACUUAAUUGUUUUUAAUACUUACAUUUGUAAUUUUUCUGUUGCUUCAGUAGUCUCUUCUUUCUCUGAAUUGUAUGAUUAAAAAGU